rnacentral:rRNA from 1 species
GACGAACGCUGGCGGCGUGCCUAACACAUGCAAGUCGAGCGGGGUUGAAGCGAGGGGUAACUCGAGUUUCUACCUAGCGGCGGACGGGUGAGUAACGCGUGGGCAACCUGCCUCAAGGACUGGGAUAACAGCUCGAAAGGGCUGCUAAUACCGGAUAAGCCUAUGGCCUCGCAUGGGGCCAUGAGCAAAGGGGAAACCUGCCUUGAGAUGGGCCCGCGUCCCAUCAGCUAGUUGGUGAGGUGAAGGCUCACCAAGGCGACGACGGGUAGCCGGCCUGAGAGGGUGACCGGCCACACUGGGACUGAGACACGGCCCAGACUCCUACGGGGGGCAGCAGUGGGGAAUCUUGCACAAUGGGCGAAAGCCUGAUGCAGCGACGCCGCGUGAGCGAAGAGGCCUUCGGUUGUAAGCUCUGUCUGGAGGGACGAAGGAAGUGACGGUACCGUCCGGAGGAAGCCGACGGCUAACUACGUGCCAGCAGCCGCGGUAAAUCACGUGUACG